GGCUCAGAUUGAACGCUGGCGGCAGGCCUAACACAUGCAAGUCGAGCGGAAACGAGUUAUCUGAACCUUCGGGGAACGAUAACGGCGUCGAGCGGCGGACGGGUGAGUAAUGCCUAGGAAAUUGCCCUGAUGUGGGGGAUAACCAUUGGAAACGAUGGCUAAUACCGCAUGAUGCCUACGGGCCAAAGAGGGGGACCUUCGGGCCUCUCGCGUCAGGAUAUGCCUAGGUGGGAUUAGCUAGUUGGUGAGGUAAGGGCUCACCAAGGCGACGAUCCCUAGCUGGUCUGAGAGGAUGAUCAGCCACACUGGAACUGAGACACGGUCCAGACUCCUACGGGAGGCAGCAGUGGGGAAUAUUGCACAAUGGGCGCAAGCCUGAUGCAGCCAUGCCGCGUGUGUGAAGAAGGCCUUCGGGUUGUAAAGCACUUUCAGUCGUGAGGAAGGUAGUGUAGUUAAUAGCUGCAUUAUUUGACGUUAGCGACAGAAGAAGCACCGGCUAACUCCGUGCCAGCAGCCGCGGUAAUACGGAGGGUGCGAGCGUUAAUCGGAAUUACUGGGCGUAAAGCGCAUGCAGGUGGUUUGUUAAGUCAGAUGUGAAAGCCCGGGGCUCAACCUCGGAAUAGCAUUUGAAACUGGCAGACUAGAGUACUGUAGAGGGGGGUAGAAUUUCAGGUGUAGCGGUGAAAUGCGUAGAGAUCUGAAGGAAUACCGGUGGCGAAGGCGGCCCCCUGGACAGAUACUGACACUCAGAUGCGAAAGCGUGGGGAGCAAACAGGAUUAGAUACCCUGGUAGUCCACGCCGUAAACGAUGUCUACUUGGAGGUUGUGGCCUUGAGCCGUGGCUUUCGGAGCUAACGCGUUAAGUAGACCGCCUGGGGAGUACGGUCGCAAGAUUAAAACUCAAAUGAAUUGACGGGGGCCCGCACAAGCGGUGGAGCAUGUGGUUUAAUUCGAUGCAACGCGAAGAACCUUACCUACUCUUGACAUCCAGAGAACUUUCCAGAGAUGGAUUGGUGCCUUCGGGAACUCUGAGACAGGUGCUGCAUGGCUGUCGUCAGCUCGUGUUGUGAAAUGUUGGGUUAAGUCCCGCAACGAGCGCAACCCUUAUCCUUGUUUGCCAGCGAGUAAUGUCGGGAACUCCAGGGAGACUGCCGGUGAUAAACCGGAGGAAGGUGGGGACGACGUCAAGUCAUCAUGGCCCUUACGAGUAGGGCUACACACGUGCUACAAUGGCGCAUACAGAGGGCGGCCAACUUGCGAAAGUGAGCGAAUCCCAAAAAGUGCGUCGUAGUCCGGAUUGGAGUCUGCAACUCGACUCCAUGAAGUCGGAAUCGCUAGUAAUCGUGGAUCAGAAUGCCACGGUGAAUACGUUCCCGGGCCUUGUACACACCGCCCGUCACACCAUGGGAGUGGGCUGCAAAAGAAGUAGGUAGUUUAACCUUCGGGGGGACGCUUACCACUUUGUGGUUCAUGACUGGGGUGAAGUCGU
rnacentral:rRNA from 1 species